CUCGCCGUAUGCCAGCCACCGUACGCGACCGUGCCUGAAACGUAUACAACCUAUGCCUAACGUACCCCUGGCGUAUGUCAGCGUAUACCGGCGUAUGAGUGAUAUUUUUCAUACGCUGGCAUACGCUAUAGUACGAUACGCAAUAGUGUGACAGGGCCUUAACAUUCACACUCGCAAUUACCCUGAUCUAUAAAAUCUAGACUUAGUUCAAGUCCGUCUCUCAAGGGGUUGAAAAUAGCGAUGCACGCAAACGGUCAAAAAAGGCGCGAAAAUAUGAGAGAAAAGUAGGGAGAGACGGACUUGGAUACCCUGCAAGCGCGCCAAAUUUUACCGUCGGAUUUUUCCUACGGAGGCGUGGCUUGCCAGUUGAGAACAACAACAAAUUUUCGCGCCAAUUUUUGCAAGUAACAUUCGAAAUGCUGCGAAUGUCCCAAGUCCGUCUCUCCC